GCCAGCGUGGUGUAGUGGUUUGAGCGCUGGAUUACGACUCUGGAGACCAGGUUUCGAAUUCUGGCUCGGCCA